AUUGAACGCUGGCGGCAGGCCUAACACAUGCAAGUCGAGCGGAUGAGUGGAGCUUGCUCCAUGAUUCAGCGGCGGACGGGUGAGUAAUGCCUAGGAAUCUGCCUGGUAGUGGGGGACAACGUUUCGAAAGGAACGCUAAUACCGCAUACGUCCUACGGGAGAAAGCAGGGGACCUUCGGGCCUUGCGCUAUCAGAUGAGCCUAGGUCGGAUUAGCUAGUUGGUGAGGUAAAGGCUCACCAGGGCGACGAUCCGUAACUGGUCUGAGAGGAUGAUCAGUCACACUGGAACUGAGACACGGUCCAGACUCCUACGGGAGGCAGCAGUGGGGAAUAUUGGACAAUGGGCGAAAGCCUGAUCCAGCCAUGCCGCGUGUGUGAAGAAGGUCUUCGGAUUGUAAAGCACUUUGAGUUGGGAGGAAGGGCAGUAAGUUAAUACCUUGCUGUUUUGACGUUACCGACAGAAUAAGCACCGGCUAACUUCGUGCCAGCAGCCGCGGUAAUACGAAGGGUGCAAGCGUUAAUCGGAAUUACUGGGCGUAAAGCGCGCGUAGGUGGUUCGUUAAGUUGGAUGUGAAAGCCCCGGGCUCAACCUGGGAACUGCAUCCAAAACUGGCGAGCUAGAGUAUGGCAGAGGGUGGUGGAAUUUCCUGUGUAGCGGUGAAAUGCGUAGAUAUAGGAAGGAACACCAGUGGCGAAGGCGACCACCUGGGCUAAUACUGACACUGAGGUGCGAAAGCGUGGGGAGCAAACA
rnacentral:rRNA from 1 species